AUGCUCUUCACGUGCAAGCCCACCCCCGCGCACGCCGGCCCGAAACCUGCCUCCAGAUCUUCUCCAUCGAGGUCACGGAGCUCAGCGGGGGCCUCCAGUGGCCGCUGGAGGUCUACGGCCUGGUCGCCACCCGAGACUCGGUGGAUCAUAAUCGCAACGUCAUCUUCAGGCGCAGGAGGGACACCUUCCUAA
rnacentral:rRNA from 1 species